rfam:Peniophora sp. CONT PENSPscaffold_293_Cont400, whole genome shotgun sequence.
GGGCGUGUGGCACAGUGGUAGCGCGCUUGCUUCGCAUCUCAGAUUCGACUGCAUGAGGUCUUGGGUUCAAUCCCCAACACGUCCA